AAAUGCAAUCAAUACUGGCCUGAUCGUGGUCAAAGUAAAAUAUAUGGCGAUAUAGAAGUUUCGUGCAAGGUUGAAGCACUGUAUGCAGAUUUUAUUUGGAGACAGUUUACGUUAUCCAAGAAUUCCGACGAAAGAAAUCUACAUCACCUUCUGUUCACAAGUUGGCCGGACAAGGACAUCCCUGAUGACGUCACGUCAAUUAUAGAGUUUAGACAGAGGGUGAACGCAUUGCCAAGUACCUUUGAUGGGCCAAUAAUUGUGCAUUGCAGUGCUGGCGUAGGAAGAACGGGAACUUACAUAGCUCUGGACAUUCUGACGAAGCAGAAGGAGCUAUAGACAUCCCGGGAUGAGACGGAACAGGCCCAACAUGA